UGGGGAAUUUUGGACAAUGGGCGCAAGCCUGAUCCAGCAAUGCCGCGUGCAGGAUGAAGGCCUUCGGGUUGUAAACUGCUUUUGUACGGAACGAAAAGCUUCUGGUUAAUACCUGGGAGUCAUGACGGUACCGUAAGAAUAAGCACCGGCUAACUACGUGCCAGCAGCCGCGGUAAUACGUAGGGUGCGAGCGUUAAUCGGAAUUACUGGGCGUAAAGCGUGCGCAGGCGGUUAUGUAAGACAGAGGUGAAAUCCCCGGGCUCAACCUGGGAACUGCCUUUGAGACUGCAUGGCUAGAGUGCGGCAGAGGGGGAUGGAAUUCCGCGUGUAGCAGUGAAAUGCGUAGAUAUGCGGAGGAACACCGGUGGCGAAGGCAAUCCACUGGGCCUGCACUGACGCUCAUGCACGAAAGCGUGGGGAGCAAACA
rnacentral:rRNA from 1 species